ACGUAGGGUGCGAGCGUUAAUCGGAAUUACUGGGCGUAAAGUGUGCGCAGGCGGCCGCGCAAGUCGAGUGUGAAAGCCCCGAGCUUAUCUUGGGAAUUGCGCUCGAAACUACGUGGCUGGAGUGUGGCAGAGGAAGGUGGAAUUCCAGGUGUAGCGGUGAAAUGCGUAGAGAUGUGGAGGAACACCGAUGGCGAAGGCAGCCCCCUGGGUCAACACUGACGCUCAUGCACGAAAGCGUGGGGAGCAAACAGGA
rnacentral:rRNA from 1 species